GACGAACGCUGGCGGCGUGCUUAACACAUGCAAGUCGAACGGAAAGGCCCCUUUGGGGGUACUCGAGUGGCGAACGGGUGAGUAACACGUGAGUAACCUGCCCUUGACUUCGGGAUAACUUCAGGAAACUGGGGCUAAUACCGGAUAGGAAUCCUUGCUGCAUGGUGGGGGUUGGAAAGCUUUGGCGGUUUUGGAUGGACUCGCGGCUUAUCAGCUUGUUGGUGGGGUAGUGGCUUACCAAGGCUUUGACGGGUAGCCGGCCUGAGAGGGCGACCGGCCACAUUGGGACUGAGAUACGGCCCAGACUCCUACGGGAGGCAGCAGUGGGGAAUAUUGCACAAUGGGCGGAAGCCUGAUGCAGCAACGCCGCGUGCGGGAUGACGGCCUUCGGGUUGGAAACCGCUUUCAGCAGGGGCGAAGCUUGUGGUGACGGUACCUGCAGAAGAAGCACCGGCUAACUACGUG
rnacentral:rRNA from 1 species